GACGAACGCUGGCGGCGUGCUUAACACAUGCAAGUCGAACGGAAAGGCCCUGCUUUUGUGGGGUGCUCGAGUGGCGAACGGGUGAGUAACACGUGAGUAACCUGCCCUUGACUUUGGGAUAACUUCAGGAAACUGGGGCUAAUACCGGAUAGGAGCUCCUGCUGCAUGGUGGGGGUUGGAAAGUUUCGGCGGUUGGGGAUGGACUCGCGGCUUAUCAGCUUGUUGGUGGGGUAGUGGCUUACCAAGGCUUUGACGGGUAGCCGGCCUGAGAGGGUGACCGGCCACAUUGGGACUGAGAUACGGCCCAGACUCCUACGGGAGGCAGCAGUGGGGAAUAUUGCACAAUGGGCGGAAGCCUGAUGCAGCAACGCCGCGUGCGGGAUGACGGCCUUCGGGUUGUAAACCGCUUUCGCCUGUGACGAAGCGUGAGUGACGGUAAUGGGUAAAGAAGCACCGGCUAACUACGUGCCAGCAGCCGCGGUGAUACGUAGGGUGCGAGCGUUGUCCGGAUUUAUUGGGCGUAAAGGGCUCGUAGGUGGUUGAUCGCGUCGGAAGUGUAAUCUUGGGGCUUAACCCUGAGCGUGCUUUCGAUACGGGUUGACUUGAGGAAGGUAGGGGAGAAUGGAAUUCCUGGUGGAGCGGUGGAAUGCGCAGAUAUCAGGAGGAACACCAGUGGCGAAGGCGGUUCUCUGGGCCUUUCCUGACGCUGAGGAGCGAAAGCGUGGGGAGCGAACAGGCUUAGAUACCCUGGUAGUCCACGCUGUAAACGGUGGGUACUAGGUGUGGGGUCCAUUCCACGGGUUCCGUGCCGUAGCUAACGCUUUAAGUACCCCGCCUGGGGAGUACGGCCGCAAGGCUAAAACUCAAAGGAAUUGACGGGGCCCCGCACAAGCGGCGGAGCAUGCGGAUUAAUUCGAUGCAACGCGUAGAACCUUACCUGGGUUUGACAUGGAUCGGGAGCGCUCAGAGAUGGGUGUGCCUCUUUUGGGGUCGGUUCACAGGUGGUGCAUGGCUGUCGUCAGCUCGUGUCGUGAGAUGUUGGGUUAAGUCCCGCAACGAGCGCAACCCUUGUUCACUGUUGCCAGCACGUUAUGGUGGGGACUCAGUGGAGACCGCCGGGGUCAACUCGGAGGAAGGUGGGGAUGACGUCAAGUCAUCAUGCCCCUUAUGUCCAGGGCUUCACGCAUGCUACAAUGGCUGGUACAGAGAGUGGCGAGCCUGUGAGGGUGAGCGAAUCUCGGAAAGCCGGUCUCAGUUCGGAUUGGGGUCUGCAACUCGACCUCAUGAAGUCGGAGUCGCUAGUAAUCGCAGAUCAGCAACGCUGCGGUGAAUGCGUUCCCGGG
rnacentral:rRNA from 1 species